rnacentral:rRNA from 1 species
UGUGAAGGAAAGGUGAAAAGGACCCCGGGAGGGGAGUGAAAGAGAACCUGAAACCUUGUGCCUACAAGCACAUAGAGCCCGUCAAAGGGUGAUAUGGUACUUUUUGUAGAACGGUCCGGCGAGCGAUUGUACGUUGCGAGCUUAAGGUCUUAAGGACUGGAGGCGUAGCGAGAGCGAGUCUAAACAGGGCGUUUAGUAGCGUGCAAUGGGCCCGAAACCGGGUGACCUACCCAUGAUCAGGCUGAAGUGAAAGUAAAAUUUCAUGGAGGGCCGAACCGACCUCCGUUGAAAAGGCGGCGGAUGAAUUGUGGGUAGCGGAGAAAUUCCAAUCGAACUCGGAGAUAGCUGGUUCUCCCCGAAAUAGCUUUAGGGCUAGCCUCAUGUUAGAUAUCCGGAGGUAAAGCACUGAAUGGCCUAGCGUCCGAGAGGAUAGCGAAGCCUAUCAAACUAAGAAUGCCGGAAUAUUGAUGCAUGGGAGUCAGACAGUGUGAGAUAAAUCUCAUUGUCAAAAGGGAAACAGCCCAGAUCUACAGCUAAGGUCCCAAAUUGUAUCUAAGUGGAAAACGAUGUGGAAAUACGCAGACAACCAGGAUGUUGGCUCAGAAGCAGCCACUCAUUUAAAGAGUGCGUAAUAGCUCACUGGUCGAGCGUCUCUGCGCGGAAAAUUUAACGGGGCUAAGAUACAAACCGAAGCUUAGGCUGCACUUUUAGUGCGGGGUAGGGGAGCGUUGUGUAAGCGGAGAAACAGUAGCGGAAGCGGCUGUGGAGUUUACAGAAGUGAGAAUGCCGGAAUGAGUAGCGCGAAUGAUGUGAGAAUCAUCAUGGCCGGAAACCUCAGGUUUUUGGAGGAAGGUUCGUCCGCUCCAAGUUAGGCGGGAGCUAAGGUGAGGCCGAAAGGCGUAGCCGAUGCACAGACGGUAGAGAUUCCGUCCCCACCGAAAGAUUUAAGCGCAGGGACACUUUUAGAAGGUCGGAGCCAGGUGUUGGUUCUGGUAGAGAUCGAGGGAAAUUUAGUACCGAAGUCCGGCUGGAUAAGAGGCGAGAAAAGCUGCGUGUAUAUCUAAGGUGCCCGUACCGCAAACCGACACAGGUAGGUAGGAAGAAGAUUCUAAGGCCAACGGGAGAAGGGUUGUUAAGGAACUCGGCAAAUUGACCCCGUAACUUCGGGAGAAGGGGUGCUCCAGAGAUGGAGCCGCAGAGAAUCGGCCCAAGCAACUGUUUACCAAAAACACAGGUUUGUGCUAAAUCGAAAGAUGACGUAUACGAGCUGACGCCUGCCCGGUGCUGGAAGGUUAAGAGGAGAUGUGCAAGCAUUGAAUCGAAGCCCCAGUGAACGGCGGCCGUAACUAUAACGGUCCUAAGGUAGCGAAAUUCCUUGUCAGGUAAGUUCUGACCCGCAUGAAAGGCGUAAUGAUUUGGGCACUGUCUCAACAGCCCGCCCGGCGAAAUUGUAGUACCGGUGAAGAUGCCGGUUACCCGCGACAAGACGGAAAGACCCCAUGGAGCUUUACUGUAGCCUAAUAUUGGGUUUCGAUGUUGCAUGCACAGGAUAGAUGGGACUCUGGGAAACCAGUGCUUUGGCGCUGGCGGAGAGGCCGUUGGGAUACCAUCCUUGCGAUAUUGGAAUUCUAACCUGCGGCUCUGAAUCGAGUCGGGGGACAUUGUUAGGUGGGCAGUUUGACUGGGGCGGUCGCCUCCUAAAAAGUAACGGAGGCGUUCAAAGGUUCGCUCAGCUUGAACGGAAAUCAAGCAAAAGAGUGCAAACGCAGAAGCGAGCCUAACUGCGAGACUGACGGGUCGAGCAGUAACGAAAGUUGGAGUUAGUGAUCCGGUGGUAUGUGAGUGGAAAUGCCAUCGCUCAACGGAUAAAAGUUACCCUGGGGAUAACAGGCUGAUCUCCCCCAAGAGUCCACAUCGACGGGGAGGUUUGGCACCUCGAUGUCGGCUCAUCGCAUCCUGGGGCUGAAGUAGGUCCCAAGGGUUGGGCUGUUCGCCCAUUAAAGCGGUACGCGAGCUGGGUUCAGAACGUCGUGAGACAGUUCGGUCCCUAUCUGUCGUGGGCGCAGGAUAUUUGAUGGGAGCUGUCCCUAGUACGAGAGGACCGGGACGGACGUACCUCUGGCGCACCAGUUGUUCUGCCAAGAGCAUAGCUGGGCAACUACGUACGGAUCGGAUAAACGCUGAAAGCAUCUAAGCGUGAAGCCGACCCAAAGAUAAGAUAUCCCACUGUUUCAAACAGGUAAGAUCCCUUGA